AUUGAACGCUGGCGGCAGGCCUAACACAUGCAAGUCGAGCGGAUGAAGGGAGCUUGCUCCUGGAUUCCGCGGCGGACGGGUGAGUAAUGCCUAGGAAUCUGCCUGGUAGUGGGGGCUAACGUCCGGACACGGGCGCUAAUACCGCAUCCGUCCUGAGGGAGAAAGUGGGGGAUCUUCGGACCUCACGCUAUCUGCUGAGCCUAGGUCGGAUUAGCUAGUUGGUGGGGUAAAGGCCUACCAAGGCGACGAUCCGUAACUGGUCUGAGAGGAUGAUCAGUCACACUGGAACUGAGACACGGUCCAGACUCCUACGGGAGGCAGCAGUAGGGAAUAUUGGACAAUGGGCGAAAGCCAGACCCAGCCAUGCCGCGUGUGUGAAGAAGGUCUUCGGAUUGUAAAGCACUUUUAGUUGGGAGGAAGGGCAGUAAGUUAAUACCUGGCUGUUUUGACGUUACCAACAGAAUAAGCACCGGCUAACUUCGUG
rnacentral:rRNA from 1 species